AGGCUUUAAAAGAUUUUGUUUACACCCAUAUGAGCUUUGGAUUUUCAAACCAAUUGGGUUUAUGCAUAAAAGGGGUUUAAUGCAUACAUAAGCUAUCCCAUAAUUUUGGGAUAAUUAUGUGGAGUUGAAAACGUAUUUUAUUUAAAUAUAUAUAUGGCCCUAAAGGCAUUUAUAGGGAAAAUGUAUUUUUAUAUAUUUUAUUUUGAAGAGAAACUACUUCCAAAAGUUGUAUCAUGGUAAAACAUGAUUUUUCAAAUUUUCUGGAAUUUAUUUGGACCAAUUUGGAGUUCAAAAUCAAAAGUUAUCAAAGAAAUGAGAAAAACAUAAAAAGAAAAGGCUAAAAGAAAAAAAAAGGGAGAAACGGACCGGCCCGACCACUUUGGGCCGAACCGGCCCAUUCCUCAGGCACGCGCGCGCGCCGCCCCGCUCAGCAGCGCCCCGCGCCGCGCCUGCACCCGCUGACAGGGGCUUCUUCCUCGUUUGGAAGGCGGCCGCGCCCGCUGCGCCGCCUGCCAUGUACGCCGCGACGCGCAAUCUCUGCCGCCCCGUCUGCUCCGACCUUCCCGAAGCUCCGAGCCCGCGUCCCUACAAAGCUCUCCCCCUCCUCUUCUCUUUCCCCGUUCUCGCCCCC
rnacentral:lncRNA from 1 species